rnacentral:rRNA from 1 species
AUACAGAGGGUGCGAGCGUUAAUCGGAAUGACUGGGCGUAAAGAGCGUGUAGGUGGAUGUUCAAGUCAGAGGUGAAAUCCCCGGGCUCAACCUGGGAACUGCCUCUGAAACUGUGUAUCUAGAGUAUGGGAGAGGGAAGUGGAAUUUCCGGUGUAGCGGUGAAAUGCGUAGAUAUCGGAAGGAACACCAGUGGCGAAGGCGGCUUCCUGGCCUAAUACUGACACUGAGACGCGAAAGCGUGGGUAGCGAACAGGAUUAGAAACCCCGGUAGUCC